UACAGAGGGUGCGAGCGUUAAUCGGAAUUACUGGGCGUAAAGCGUGCGUAGACUGCUAUCUAAGUCGCGUGUGAAAGCCCCCGGCUCAACUGGGGAGGGUCACGCGAUACUGAUCGACUCGAAGGCAGGAGAGGGAAGUGGAAUUCCCGGUGUAGUGGUGAAAUGCGUAGAUAUCGGGAGGAACACCAGUGGCGAAGGCGACUUCCUGGCCUGUUCUUGACGCUGAGGCGCGAAAGCUAGGGGAGCAAACGGG
rnacentral:rRNA from 1 species